UACAGAGGGUGCUAGCGUUGCUCGGAAUCACUGGGCGUAAAGCGCACGUAGGCGGAUUGCUAAGUCAGGGGUGAAAUCCUGGAGCUCAACUCCAGAACUGCCUUUGAUACUGGCGACCUUGAGUCCGGGAGAGGUGAGUGGAACUGCGAGUGUAGAGGUGAAAUUCGUAGAUAUUCGCAAGAACACCAGUGGCGAAGGCGGCUCACUGGCCCGGUACUGACGCUGAGGUGCGAAAGCGUGGGGAGCAAACAGG
rnacentral:rRNA from 1 species